AGCAGGAAGUAAUUCUAUAUUGAAGCCCAUAUGGUGUCACGUGUAGAUUGAGAAUCACCAUGUCUGCUGAAUUAUGUUAUCACUGACUUCGAAGUUAUCAUUGUGAAGCAGCAGCUAUUGCCAGGAAUAGUAAAUCAUAUCUCAUGCUUUAUAAGAAAUGGUAUUAUGGAUUUUCCAAAGAACGUGUUUUUAAUAGAAGGCACAAGUCGUCGCCCAUACCAUAUACAGGCAAAGUAUGGAUUUAUUUGUAUUAUUUACUUUUGGCCGUUUUAAUUUGAUUUCAAAAUAUUUAUUGAACGCUCACGACAUGAAAAUGAAUAAGCCCAAUCCCUAUCUUAAAUAGCUUGAAAUUUAUUGGGGAGAAAGCCGUGUCCACAAGUAUCUGAAGUCUGAAGCCAAGUGUCCCGUGUGUUAGGAUGGAUACGAGUCAUUUGGGGGCAGUGAGGGGAAGGAACAAUUAAGUUCAGACUGGUAAUGGGGAAGAAAAGAGGACUUACCAGAGGAAGGGGCAUUUGACCUAGUUUUUGACAACUAUGCAGGUUUGGUUUUGUUUUGUUUCGGGAAGUAAAUAAGCAAAGACAUUUGAUACCAGGAAAGUCAUAAAAAUAAAUGCCAGUUUCGGGAACUGGGAGGUAAUUAGGUGUUGUUGUUGAUCAGUGCUUCUUAAUCCUGGCCGCACAUUGGAAUCACAUGGGGAGCUUUAAAAAUACUGGUGCCUGAGUUUCACCCCCAAAGAUCCUUCGGUAUGGCUUAUACAUUGGGAGUUUUACAAGGUCCCCAAAUUAUUCUAAUGUGCGGCCAAGGUUGAGAACCUCUGCUGUAGAGAGUACUAUACUUCAUAUGGUACUAUGAAGCAGGGAAAAAAAAGGAAAUGAAACCUAUUUUUCUUGGGCUGAAUUAUCCUUGUAUAAUUAUCCCUGAAUUAUCCCUGAAAAAAAAUGAGAUCCUCAUUUGCGAUUACAGGAGACUUGCGAUUACAGAAACAUGACCAGUGUCCAGGACUCACUGUGAGAAAGGACAGGGUUGGAGGUGAAGGGGAGAGACUUAGAGUCAAGAAGCAAGGGAAUAUUUAAGAAAAGAGAAGUCGGUACUUCAUUUUUCCUAAUGGCUGUAUUCAACCUGGAUUCUGAAAGUAUGGAAACUUGACCUAAAACUACUCCUUUUCCCCCUUUCUUCCCACCAACUAUCAAAUGUGUACGUGGGAUAGGGUACACACAUGGGAAAGCGAGUCCACUGAAGGGGGGCAGGGUUCUUUCAGGGUAGAUGGAGGGAGAGGACAGGCACUGACAUCAUCCCUCACCCCUUCGAUCGCCCAAGCUCAAGGCUUCCUGUCAUCUUCCUCCCCAGGCACGUCCUAUCAAGUCUGCCUGACAAUAGCUCCCACGUUCUGUCAGAUGAUGGCCUUCUUCAGGAAACCUCUCCAUCCAAAUGAAACCUCUCCAUCCAAAAGUUGGGUGAAUAAAAGUGCCUGUGAAAGAAUCUUCUUCUCUUAACAGGAAAUGUAUCAACAUCAACGAAUUGAUCUACCUCUGAAAUAUUCCACGAUGAACCAUCACUCAUGGGAACCAUCUUAUUUCUACACAUAGAGAAGUACUUUGCCAACCACAAGAAAAUGAUGCACUCACCAUGAUAAAGAAUGAGGCCCCUGUCAUAAGGAAACCUGGGAGAGCGAAGAAAGGCCUGAUUGAUCACAAGGUCCUAUCAAAUGUCAAAGCUGGCCCUGGCUGACCUCCCAUCUAUUCAGAGCUGCUUUGAUUUAAUCUCCAAACUGGCUGCUUCUCUAGGCUAGAAGAAGAUUGAAAGUUUCAAUAAAGAAAGGUGAUGAUAAUGUCUUCCUGGAACCCUUGGCUAAGAUGGAUUGGCAAAGAAUAAAAUGAUCUAGGUUCUAAAAUUUGGUUUUGAUACUAAC